GAAUAGGGUGCCAUUAUGGAGGGAAUAGGGUGCCAUUAUGGAGGGAAUAAGGUGCCAUUAUGUAGAGAAUAGGGUGCCAUUAUGGAGGGAAUAGGGUGCCAUUAUGUAGAGAAUAAGGUGCCAUUAUGUAGAGAAUAAGGUGCCAUUAUGUAGAGAAUAGGGUGCCAUUAUGUAGAGAAUAGGGUGCCAUUAUGGAGGGAAUAGGGUGCCAUUAUGUUGGGAAUAGGGUGUCGUUAUGUAGAGAAUAAGGUGCCAUUAUGGAGGGAAUAGGGUGCCAUUAUGGAGGGAAUAGGGUGCCAUUAUGGAGGGAUUAAGGUGCCAUUAUGUAGAGAAUAGGGUGCCAUUAUGGAGGGAAUAGGGUGCCAUUAUGUAGAGAAUAAGGUGCCAUUAUGUAGAGAAUAAGGUGCCAUUAUGUAGAGAAUAGGGUGCCAUUAUGUAGAGAAUAAGGUGCCAUUAUGUAGAGAAUAAGGUGCCAUUAUGUAGAGAAUAGGGUGCCAUUAUGGAGGGAAUAGGGUGCCAUUAUGUAGAGAAUAGGGUGCCAUUAUGUUGGGAAUAGGGUGUCGUUAUGUAGAGAAUAAGGUGCCAUUAUGUAGAGAAUAGGGUGCCAUUAUGUAGAGAAUAGGGUGCCAUUAUGUAGAGAAUAAGGUGCCAUUAUGUAGAGAAUAGGGUGCCAUUAUGUAGAGAAUAGGG
rnacentral:lncRNA from 1 species